rnacentral:rRNA from 1 species
GAUGAACGCUGGCGGCGUGCCUAAUACAUGCAAGUCGAGCGAACAGAUAAGGAGCUUGCUCCUUUGACGUUAGCGGCGGACGGGUGAGUAACACGUGGGUAACCUACCUAUAAGACUGGGAUAACUUCGGGAAACCGGAGCUAAUACCGGAUAACAUUUGGAACCGCAUGGUUCUAAAGUGAAAGAUGGUUUUGCUAUCACUUAUAGAUGGACCCGCGCCGUAUUAGCUAGUUGGUAAGGUAACGGCUUACCAAGGCGACGAUACGUAGCCGACCUGAGAGGGUGAUCGGCCACACUGGAACUGAGACACGGUCCAGACUCCUACGGGAGGCAGCAGUAGGGAAUCUUCCGCAAUGGGCGAAAGCCUGACGGAGCAACGCCGCGUGAGUGAUGAAGGGUUUCGACUCGUAAAACUCUGUUAUUAGGGAAGAACAAAUGUGUAAGUAACUGUGCACGUCUUGACGGUACCUAAUCAGAAAGCCACGGCUAACUACGUG